GAAAUUUUUUUUUUAAAAAGAUCAAAGUAUAAUGUUUAUUUUCUUGAGGGUUUCCCUUCUUUAAAAAUUAACACUCUUUCAUCAAAGUAAUAGAUUUUUUUAUAAGAAUUUUCCCUUUUUUGUUAAUUCUACUCAAUUUUACCUAGUUUUUCGUUACAGAAUUAUGCACUAUAAAGAAGAAUGUUUAUUUUCAAAGAAGGGAAAACCUCAAGAAAAUAAAAAGCUUUUCAGAAAA